ACUGGAUGUAUAGGAACUCACUGGAUGUAUAGUAACUCAGUAACUCACUGGAUGUAUAGUAACUCAGUAACUCACUGGAUGUAUAGGAACUCACUGGAUGUAUAGUAACUCAGUAACUCACUGGAUGUAUAGGAACUCACUGGAUGUAUAGUAACUCACUGGAGGUAUAGUAACUCAGUAACUCACUGGAUGUAUAGAAACUCACUGGAUGUAUAGUAACUCAGUAAUUCACUGGAUGUAUAGUAACUCACUGGAUGUAUAGGAACUCACUGGAUGUAUAGUAACUCACUGGAGGUAUAGUAACUCACUGGAUGUAUAGUAACUCAGUAACUCGCUGGAUGUAUAGUAACUCAGUAACUCACUGGAUGUAUAGUAACUCAGUAACUCACUGGAUGUAUAGUAACUCACUGGAUGUAUAGUAACUCAGUAACUCACUGGAUGUAUAGAAACUCACUGGAUGUAUAGUAACUCAGUAAUUCACUGGAUGUAUAGUAACUCACUGGAUGUAUAGGAAC
ensembl:lncRNA